rnacentral:rRNA from 1 species
GGAGGGAUCAUUACUGAGUGAGGGCUCCGGCCCAACCUCCAACCCUUUGUGAAUUCGACCUCUGUUGCCUCGGGGGCGACCCGGCCCUCUGGGUGCCGGGGCCCCCGGUGGACACCUCAACUCUGCAUCUUUGCGUCUGAGUAUGAUAUUUGAAUCAAUCAAAACUUUCAACAACGGAUCUCUUGGUUCUGGCAUCGAUGAAGAACGCAGCGAAAUGCGAUAAGUAAUGUGAAUUGCAGAAUUCAGUGAAUCAUCGAAUCUUUGAACGCACAUUGCGCCCCUUGGUAUUCCGGGGGGCAUGCCUGUUCGAGCGUCAUUUCACCACUCAAGCCUGGCUUGGUAUUGGGUGAGGCGGCUUCACGGCCGCCCGCCUCAAAGUCUCCGGCUGGACCGACCGUCUCUAAGCGUUGUGACUUAAUUGGACCGCUUGCGAGCAUGGGACGUCCUCGGCCGUUAAACUUAUUACACAAGGUUGACCUCGGAUCAGGUAGGGAUA